UACUGGAUAUACGAAAAAUCCAAAUGGCACCAUUCAGUUUAAGGCUGGGAAGACUAUCGCUAGCAUUAUUGUAGAUGGAGUGAUCGAAAAAAUCACUGCAGCAGUUACCGUUGUAGCAGUUGCAGUACCUAAGGGCCUUCCUUUAGCUGCUAAACUGACACUAGCUUACUCGAUGAGAAAAAUGAUGGUGGAAAAAGCUAUGGUGCAAUGGCUUUCUGAAUGCCCGACUAUGGGAUUUGCCACAACUAUCUGUAGUCAUAAAGCUGGAACCUUGACUUUAAAUCAGAUGACAGUUGUCAAGGCUUAUACUGGUGGAAGAAAAGUUGACCCUCCGGACAGCACCUCAAAGUUAUCAACUUCUCUUAUUUCUCUACUGAUUGAAGCCAUUGCUCAGAAUUAUGCGCCUAAGGUGGGUUUGCAACUGUUGGUAUUAGUGGAAGCGUGUGCUUGAUAUGUGAGUAAUAUAUCAAGGGAGCAAGGGAACUAAGAACAAUGUGUGUAAGAAUUGAUUGGGCAAAGAAGCAACAAGAAUGUUUUGUAAGAGAGUAGCAGCAAGGGAGCCCAAAGGAACAAAAGGAAGGCCUUUAUUAUUUGAUGAGAACUACAAAGAGAAGAGGGAAGGAGCUGAACUUGUUGGUCUGCUACGCUCCACACCUUGCUAUUUAUAAGCAAGGUUCACCGACUUAUGGCCCACAAUUUAUAACUUUUAGUAGAUUUUUAAUCCUACAAUUUUUUACUUCAACAACCGACUCCUCAAGGAAAACAUCUCUGCCAUUUGCAGAGAUAAUUUUAUGGACUCUUCCACUCAAAUUUAGUAGACUCCAGAUUCUUCUUGCGGGCCAAGCACUAGAUUAUUUUGGAUUUUUUCAUAUUUCUCUAGCAAAUACCCUAUGCUAGAAAACUCUAGGAAUUGGAUCAGCAUUUUAACAGCAACAUCAGUAAUGGCUGUUUAAUAAUGGCGACCAGUGAUAACUUCAUGUGUUUUUACUUCUUUAGACAGUGUGAGAUGUAGAGCUGUCUGCUUUGCCAACUGAAAAGGCCAUUCUACAGUGGGGGAUCAAGGUUCUUGCUUAAGUUUUAUAUCGCUUACUUAUGCUCUUCACUCCUAUCUCUAGUUCAUCUAUUUGUUUGACGAGUGAUGUCAUUAGACUACUCACGAUGCCUCAUUUGCAGCUGGAGAUGGAAAUUGAAGUUGUUCGGUCAAGUUCCUCUAUAAUUCAUGUUUUCCCUUUCAAUUCUGAGAAAAAACGAGGUGGAGUUGUUGUAAAGCUGAUAUAUUUCUCAUUCCUUAGUUUUAUUGAUCACAUGUGCAUUAUUGAUCACAUGUGCACUGCUGAAGAGGACAUUUGCUACAAUAUGCACAUUGUAUCUUAUUGUUAUUUAGAGUGUGAAUCUUGUCAUGUGGAUUGGCACAGAUAAAAAGAUCUAGUCAUGCAGACAGUAUCUGUGUCAUUGCAAUACCUUUUGAGAUUGUACCGAGCUGCUAUAACAGUAACUAAAGUUUUGGGAAAGUUGCUUUUGUACAUGAAACUAACUCCCAGACAGUCAGGACACUGUUGUUUUUGCUCUUCAACAGCUUUACUUUUAAGGCAGUAUUAGUGCGGUGCUUUUCUUUGUGCUUACGUUGUAAGCAGGUCUUAACAACAAAGGAGUUAAGAUUCUAAGGCACAGUAAAAUGGUGGAAUACCCACUUGAUUGAAAAAGAAGGUGGUACAAAACUCAGCAGUUUGGGCAAGGUAACCAAGGUUUUUUAAACUUCAAAUCACGAUUUUACUUAGUGAUGGCUUGGUUUGGGGUGUCUGAAGGACUAUAUUGCGGUUGAAUCUGGAUUAGUAAGUUCUUUGAAACUUCUAAAGUACUUAUCAUUUGAAAGUAAAUAGUUAGAGGUUUGCUGAGCUUAAAUUUCCAAAGAUUAUAUCUGCAGAUUUAAUGAUAUUGACAAGUUCUCAUAGUACAAUCAUCUGAUUUUGUCAUGUUGGAUGCAAUCCCAUUAAUAUGCUAAAAUAAUAAGAUCUGGAUAUUAGUCCUUAAGUUUUGGAUUGAACAGUAGUUGGAUCCUAUAUUAGAUUUGAGAUUUUGCUAGCCAUCACUAUGGGGCAAAGCCAUGCAUCCUUUCUAUAUGAUAGCCGUGUAAAGGCCAUUUACUGUUGGGUUCAUGAAUCAUUUAUUUCUUUCUCUUAAACUACUCUUUGGUGGUUUGAACAAAAAAAAGAAUUUGCUGUUUAAGAAAAUUAAGUUUUGGUCUUGGCUGGUACUUGCUUAUGAUGCACACCUAUAGUGUGCACAGUUAUUGGGUUGAGUUACCACAAUGUUAAAUCUCCUGCAGAUUUAUACUACAAUUGUACUGUGAUGCAAUGUAAAUCCAUCGUUAAUGAUUGUUUUUAAACUUUCAAGCACAGCAAGACUCAGAGGUUUGCAUGCACCAGAAAGGAGCUGCUGAAAUAGUUUUGGCUUUUUGUACAAAGUACAAGGAUGCAAAUGGUCAAGUGGUAGCAAUGGAUAAAGAUCAGAAGAUGUACUUCAGAAAGGCUAUUGAAGAUAUGGCUACUGAUAGUCUUCCCUGUGUUGCCAUUGCAUAUAGAUCAUAUGACAUAAAAGACAUUCCUCUAGAUAAAGAACAGUAAACCAAGUGGGCAUUACCAUAGGAUGAGCUUAUCUUACCGACUAUUGUGGGCAUAAAGGAUCCUUGUCGUCCUGAAGUAAAAGAUGCCAUGAAACUAUGCCAAAUUGCUAGAGUUAAGGUACAAAUGGUUACUGUUGACCAUCUCCAAAUUGCCAAAGCAAUUGCUUUGGAAUGCGGGAUACUAGAUCCAGAAGCAGAUGCUAUUGCGCCAAACCUUAUUAAAGGAAAAACUUUCCGUUCCUUAAGUGCUGAGGAAAGAGAAGAAGUUGCUGAGAAGAUAUCAGAUAUGGGAAGAUCAUCUCCUAACAAGAAGCUGCUGGUUUUUCAAGCAUUGGGAAAGCGAGGAAACGUUGUAGCUGUAACUGGGGAUGGCACUAAUGGUUUUUCGGAGGGUUCCUUUAAUAAUGUCCUAAUAAUGUUAUCACCUUUUCUAUUAAUUCAUGACUUCUGUCAUUCUAGCGUCUAUUCAGCAGAUAUAGCAGACAGAUGCCUUGAAAUCCUUCUAAUAGAACUGGUUCAUAGUCUUGAAGUCCCUGGAUGCCUCAUGGUAUCUUUCUGUGCUAAGAUGAAUUGCAAUACGUUGGUAAAUUUGGUUGUAGCCUUCAAGUCGCUUCAUGUCUGGAAGUUGUCUUGUUCUUAUAUUUACUACAAGGUAAAUAGAUUGCAAGGUGUUAAAAUAAUGUGGGAUCUUAGUUUGCCAUGUUUUUAGAAAAAUUUUCAUCAUCAUGAAUGGCUCUCGAGUGUUCAUUUUUUUGGUCUGCUUAUACCCAUGCACUUCUGUUGUGCCUUGACUUUGAACUCUUUUCAACCAAUAAUUUUGUUGCUUGGAUAUCUCUUUUAUCUUGGAGUUCAGGCAGAUAUUGGCCUUGCAAUGGUAUUCAAGGGAUGGUAGUUGCAAAAGAGUUUUCAAACAUUAUAAUGGGUAGUCUGCCUGAAUUUCUAAAGCGGAAUUCAGCAUCCUCAUGACAGACUUUAUUGUUUGAUUGAAUUUUUCUGGAAAGUGGUGUCAACUAAUGGUAAUGAGUUAUAGUGGAGCUUCAGUACAUUAGUUACUUGGAGAGUUCUCUCUCUGGAAAGUUGUCUACUUUUUUUACUAGAUGGUACUGUGCAUAUUUACUUGACUCAGAUACGUAGUCCAGAUUCCUCAAACAAGUACUUCACAAUACUAAAACUUCACCUGCAAAUUUGGAAAAUAUUCAGAUUUGGAAAAUAGAAUUGGGCGGUGGCAAAUCUUUUUUGACUUGCUAAUUAGUUGAUUAUUUGAUUUCACAUUGUCAACUUAAUUGUGGGUUACGAUUUUGAAUCUGGGUGCGUUUGGUUGAUUAAUCCUUAGAAAGUGUAGAGAUGGUUGACAGACCUCAAUUUAUCUGGUGGGGAACAUUUGUAUAUGCAAAUAUUCAGAAAUUUAUUCAGUGUCAGCUACACUUAAAGUUGCAGCUCUUAUCUUUAACGUUGUUGCUGCAUGCAGGUACUCGUUCUCUCUCUCUCUCUAGCAUGGGUGUGCGUGCGCCCACGUGUGGGUGCCCCUACCCAUUUCUGCUUCUCUUUGCUCACUCUACUUCUCAACCUUUCUCUUUGCUUGCAGCUUCUAUGGGUUAAUCUUAUCAUUUCGAACACCCCUGGUGCAGUAGCACUGGCUACCGAGACUCCAACUGACCACCUUAUGCAUAGGCCUCCGGUUGGUAGGAGGUAAGAGUUCCUGGAUGUUAUUAUUGGGUGCAACAUAUGUGAAAAAUUUUGGUCACAAGCUUCGAGAUCCUGUUUUUUUCUUGUCAACUCAAAUCCUCGGUUUCUUUAGAUGUGUAUUGGGAUUUCUUCACUUGCCGAAACCUGUCGUUUAUCCUUACCCUUCGAGCAUGCACUGGUAGGGUGAUUUUCUCAAUUGCAGAGAACCUCUCAUCACAAGUAUCAUGUGGAAGAAUUUAU